rnacentral:rRNA from 1 species
AGUGAACGCUGGCGGUAGGCCUAACACAUGCAAGUCGAACGGCAGCACAGUAAGAGCUUGCUCUCACGGGUUGCGCGUGGCGGACGGGUGACGUAUACAUCGGACUCUACUUUUUCGUGUGGGAUAACGUAGGGAAACUUACGCCACUACCGCAUACUCCCUACGGGUGUAAGCAGGGGUACUUCGGACCUUGUGGGGUUGAAUGAGCCGAUGUCUGAUUAGCUAGUUGGCGGGGUAACGGACCACCCAGGCGACGAUCCGUAGCUGGUCUGAGAGGAUGAGCAGCCACACCGGAACUGAGACACGGUCCAGAGUCCUACGGCAAGCAGAAGUAGGGAUUAUUGAACAAGGGGAGCAAUCGUGAGACAGCCAUAGCGCGUGCGUGAAGAAGACCUUCGGGUUCUGAAGCCCUUUUAUCGGGAAGGAGAAGAAAAAAGUUCAUUGCCCGCUGAUCUGACGGUACCCAAAGAAUAAGCACCGGCUAACUACGUG